AACAAAGAGUCAACAGGACGAAGGACCUUAUGAAUGUGCUUUCUAUUGUUCUUCCCCUUCUAAAAGAACCCGCCAUAUGGAGAAUAAAAUAGCGGUUGACUCUUCCCAUCCACUCCACCCUGAAUUCCAGCUCCUUCCCUCUGGCCACAGUGGACCUGAGCCAUAGGACCAUGACUCAGGACUACCUGGCUUGACGACUCCUGGCUGUUCCCGUCCCCAGUCCACCUGGUCGUGCUGCUGAUCCAGUUUCUGCUGUUCUGCCUGCGGCUAUGGAACCCUGACCUGUUCACCGGAUGUGCUACCUUGUCUAGGACAUACUGUGUCAAGCCUCCCCACUUGAAAAAAAUACAUUUUAUAUUAUGGCAUAAAUACUAUAGUAUUCACGGGAACACAGGCCUCCCGUGUGGCGCAGUGG